rnacentral:tRNA from 1 species
AGUGUCACGCCGGACGAACGGACUACUCUGAUGACGUAGAUUAUGGAAACUUUCCUGACACUU